GAUGAACGCUAGCUACAGGCUUAACACAUGCAAGUCGAGGGGCAGCAUUUUAGUUUGCUUGCAAACUGAAGAUGGCGACCGGCGCACGGGUGAGUAACACGUAUCCAACCUGCCGAUAACUCCGGAAUAGCCUUUCGAAAGAAAGAUUAAUACCGGAUGGCAUACGAAUAUCGCAUGAUAUUUUUAUUAAAGAAUUUCGGUUAUCGAUGGGGAUGCGUUCCAUUAGUUUGUUGGCGGGGUAACGGCCCACCAAGACUACGAUGGAUAGGGGUUCUGAGGGGAAGGUCCCCCACAUUGGAACUGAGACACGGUCCAAACUCCUACGGGAGGCAGCAGUGAGGAAUAUUGGUCAAUGGGCGAGAGCCUGAACCAGCCAAGUAGCGUGAAGGAUGAAGGCUCUAUGGGUCGUAAACUUCUUUUAUAUGGGAAUAAAGUAUUCCACGUGUGGAAUUUUGUAUGUACCAUAUGAAUAAGGAUCGGCUAACUCCGUGCCAGCAGCCGCGGUAAUACGGAGGAUCCGAGCGUUAUCCGGAUUUAUUGGGUUUAAAGGGAGCGUAGGUGGAUUGUUAGUCAGUUGUGAAAGUUUGCGGCUCAACCGUAAAAUUGCAGUUGAAACUGGCAGUCUUGAGUACAGUAGAGGUGGGCGGAAUUCGUGGUGUAGCGGUGAAAUGCUUAGAUAUCACGAAGAACUCCGAUUGCGAAGGCAGCUCACUAGACUGUCACUGACACUGAUGCUCGAAAGUGUGGGUAUCAAACAGGAUUAGAUACCCUGGUAGUCCACACAGUAAACGAUGAAUACUCGCUGUUUGCGAUAUACAGUAAGCGGCCAAGCGAAAGCAUUAAGUAUUCCACCUGGGGAGUACGCCGGCAACGGUGAAACUCAAAGGAAUUGACGGGGGUCCGCACAAGCGGAGGAACAUGUGGUUUAAUUCGAUGAUACGCGAGGAACCUUACCCGGGCUUAAAUUGCAACAGAAUAUAUUGGAAACAGUAUAGCCGUAAGGCUGUUGUGAAGGUGCUGCAUGGUUGUCGUCAGCUCGUGCCGUGAGGUGUCGGCUUAAGUGCCAUAACGAGCGCAACCCUUAUCUUUAGUUACUAACAGGUCAUGCUGAGGACUCUAGAGAGACUGCCGUCGUAAGAUGUGAGGAGGGUGGGGAUGACGUCAAAUCAGCACGGCCCUUACGUCCGGGGCUACACACGUGUUACAAUGGGGGGUACAGAAGGCGGCUACCUGGUGACAGGAUGCUAAUCCCAAAAACCUCUCUCAGUUCGGAUCGAAGUCUGCAACCCGACUUCGUGAAGCUGGAUUCGCUAGUAAUCGCGCAUCAGCCAUGGCGCGGUGAAUACGUUCCCGGGCCU
rnacentral:rRNA from 1 species